UACAGAGGGGGCAAGCGUUGUUCGGAAUUACUGGGCGUAAAGGGUGCGUAGGCGGUUUGAUAAGUCAGUUGUGAAAUUCCCCGGCUUAACCGGGUGGACUGCGAUUGAUACUGUUGAACUUGAAUCAGGUUGAGGUCGGCGGAAUGUGACAUGUAGCGGUGAAAUGCUUAGAUAUGUCAUAGAACACCGAUUGCGAAGGCAGCUGGCUAGACCUGCAUUGACGCCGAGGCACGAAAGCGUGGGGAGCAAACAGG
rnacentral:rRNA from 1 species